AGCAUCACAUGCAUGGGUUCCCUGCUGUUAGACCAGAUUCUCGUCUGUUCAAACUUCGUGAACAACGCUGAGUUUGAAAUUCCUCCGUAUGUGGGCUACGGGUUCGAAACUCUCCGCUACCCCGCUGGGUUGAGACUGGCGACACGUGCGUCAUGGCAAACUAGAGGCCC